CAGCAGCCGCGGUAAUACGGAGGGCGCGAGCGUUGUCCGGAUUCACUGGGCGUAAAGCGGGUGUAGGCGGUCGGGUAAGUCGGACGUGAAAGCCCGGGGCUCAACCCCGGAAGGGCGUCCGAAACUGCUCGACUUGAGGGCGGGAGAGGGAGGUGGAAUUCCCGGUGUAGCGGUGAAAUGCGUAGAGAUGUGGAGGAACACCAGUGGCGAAGGCGACUUUCUGGUCUGUAACUGACGCUGAGGCGCGAAAGCGUGGGGAGCAAACAGGAUUAGAUACCCUGGUAGUCCACGCCGUAAACGAUGAGUGCUAAGUGUUAGGGGGUUUCCGCCCCUUAGUGCUGCAGCUAACGCAUUAAGCACUCCGCCUGGGGAGUACGGCCGCAAGGCUGAAACUUAAAGGAAUUGGCGGG
rnacentral:rRNA from 1 species